GAAGGUUGUAACUCAACAACUUUCUGCACACAAAAGUCACUGGAAGCGUGAAAGAUAAAGGAAAAGGAAAGGAGAAAGAAAGAAUUUGAAAAAUGUCUUUGGUACAAGACUAGCUCCAAGAUUUAUCAGCAAGAUUAUCUAGCUGAUCCAUAACUCAGAGGUAAAUCUAAGGAUGGUGUAAGAAGGAAAAAUUUAUAAAAUAUUCUUCAGCAACCUUGAAUCGCGAAUUUCGAAGGAUUUUAAUUCUCGCAGAGGUUGUCGAACCCAAACGGAAGUCGUAUCCGGCGCAAUAAGAAAUUUCUCAAUCGCAGGAAGUUGGGAGACGUAUCUAGGACGUAUCGGUGGCGUAAGAAAACCGGGCUGGACGAACGUGAAAAACGGCUUGGUUAAUGAAACUAAAUGAAAGUAUCGCAAUUUAAUGGAAAUCGACGAAACGAAGGUGUACAGUUUGUAUUAAAACUUAUGAAUAAUUCAGGAAAUUAGAGGGACACGAGUGUGCCCUUUUUUGCAUUCAACGCCUUUUUGAGCUUCGCUGGUGAUGAAAACUCGCCAGAUUUCUUUUUUUUUGUCUUUUUUUAGUAAUAAAUCGUUUCAAUCUUUUUACAGUCAUACAAUAUUUAAUCGCUGAUGAUUGAUAACAUUCGACGAGGUUGUCUAUUCGUAACUUCAUUUAUACCCAACUUCUAUCUUAUAUCAUUUCCUCUUUUCUAUAAAUUAGGCAAAAUGUAAAUACCACGAAUCAUUGUUUAUCGCGUGAUUCACUGUACACUGUACUUCGAUCGAAAAAUAUUUCUACAAUCUUGGAGUAAAAAAAAGAAAAGAAAUCGAAAAUCCAAUAAUCCAGAAUAAUGAAAACGGAGAAAGAAGAAAGAGGGAAGAAGCGAAAAAAAAAGAGAGAAAUUACGAAAGCAUGGAACCAAGAGUCGGUGUAAGUAUCGAUAUAACGA